GGGGAUGUAGCAUAAUCUGGUAGUGCGGCUGGCUCCAGACCAGUUGAUUCGGGUUCAAAUCCCGCCAUCCCCA
rnacentral:tRNA from 1 species